rnacentral:misc_RNA from 1 species
GCAUCAGAACAGGUGUUGGUUGUCCCAAAUCCCAUGGGGUCAAUCCUUGCUCCCAGCACUUCUCCCAACCACCAGAAGAGUCGGUGUCAAGAAUUCGUUGCAUUUGAUUAACUUCAGGCUUGAAUUUAACGGUAAUCUCCCUUGCACUUGGUUGUUCUUCCCUCUUCUUAUCCAUUCUCGGAGGGGCAGCGCCAACCCCGAGGCCUCUGAAAGGAAUAGCUCUGUUUGCUGAAGCCGGAUUCUGAACGGAGAGGAUAGUGUUGGAGAGCCAACGGAAGGACAGUGAUCGCAUAUCUUUCUGCUUUCGUCAGAGACCCAAACGAGCUUCCCGUCGAG